rnacentral:rRNA from 1 species
GAGUUUGAUCAUGGCUCAGAACGUACGCUGGCGGCACGCCUAACACAUGCAAGUCGAACGAAGUAGCAAUACUUAGUGGCAGACGGGUGAGUAACAUGUAGGUAUCUACCCUAUGGCCUGGAAUAACACGAGGAAACUUGUGCUAAUACUGGAUAAGUCUUUACGGAGAAAGCUUUAUGCACCAUUGGAUGAGCCUGCACUUGAUUAGUUUGUUGGUAGGGUAAUGGCCUACCAAGACUGUGAUCAAUAGCUGAUUUGAGAGGAUGAUCAGCCACAUUGGGACUGAGACACGGCCCAAACUCCUACGGGAGGCAGCAGUGGGGAAUCUUGCACAAUGGAGGAAACUCUGAUGCAGCGAUGCCGCGUGAGUGAAGAAGGCCCUUGGGUUGUAAAGCUCUUUCGUCGGGGAAGAAAAUGACUGUACCCGAAUAAGAAGGUCCGGCUAACUUCGUGCCAGCAGCCGCGGUAAUACGAAGGGACCUAGCGUAGUUCGGAAUUACUGGGCUUAAAGAGUUCGUAGGUGGUUGAAAAAGUUGGUGGUGAAAUCCCAGAGCUUAACUCUGGAACUGCCAUCAAAACUUUUCAGCUAGAGUAUGAUAGAGGAAAGCAGAAUUUCUAGUGUAGAGGUGAAAUUCGUAGAUAUUAGAAAGAAUACCAAUUGCGAAGGCAGCUUUCUGGAUCAUUACUGACACUGAGGAACGAAAG